AAAAGCCAUAACACCCCAACCGGAGAGUCACUUAAUCUUUCUUAGCUGUUGGUUGAUCUCCUUCCUUCUAUGCCUGCUAUGGGGAGUGAACUUGACCUAUUUCAUUAUCACAAGCACGUCCUCAACCUGAGAGCUAGUCUUAUGUAUGCAUCUCGAGCCUGCCCUCACGAAGGUAUGCUCAUUGAACAGCUGAGUGAAAUGUAUCAAAAUAUUAAACAGCUGAGUGAAAUGGAUUAGAUUAUCGAACAGCUGAGUGAUAUUGAUCAGAUUAGGUAUAGGGAUGUAGGUGGUUGCCUACUCUGCAUGCCAUAUUAUUAUGUAUAGUGAAAUACCGAUUCUUGCCCUAAAAAAGCGCCGGGGAGGGCAGAGCGUUUCUC
rnacentral:lncRNA from 1 species